GGUAAAGUGGCUGAGCUUAAGGCGGUAAAUUGUAAAUUUACAGACGAAAUUUUUUCUUUUAUCA
rnacentral:tRNA from 1 species